AAGUACGAACGCAAGUUUAAAACUCAAAGGAAUAGACGGGGACUCGCACAAGCGGUGGAGCAUGUGGUUCAAUUCGAUGGUAAACGAAAAACCUCACCAGGGCUUGAAAUUCCGACGAUAAGUCCCGUGAAAGCGGGAUGUCUCACAAGGACGUCGGAACAGGUGCUGCAUGGCUGUCGUCAGUUCGUGGCUUGAGCUGUUCCCUUAAGUGGGGUAACGAACGCAACCCCUGCCCCGUGUUAUACGUGUCACGGGGGACUACUCUGAUUUUCGGAGGGGAAGGUGGGGAUGACGCCAAGUCAGCAUGGCCCUCUGAUGCCCUGGGCUACACACGUGCUACAAUGGGACGUACAAUGGGCCGCAAUACCGAGAGGUGGAGCUAAUCCCUUAAAACGUCCCCCAGUUCAGAUUGAGGUCUGCAACUCGACCUCAUGAAGACGGAAUCGCUAGUAAUCGCAGGUCAGCUAUACUGCGGUGAAUACGUUCUCGAGUCUUGUACUCAC
rnacentral:rRNA from 1 species